rnacentral:rRNA from 1 species
AUGGAUGCAGGCUCCCGCUCGAUCUCUUCCGGCAAGAGCUGCGCCGCCGCGCAGCGUCCGCUCCAGGAGGCCGGAUCCCGCCCCUACAUGCCGUCGCUGAGCACGCGCAACCCGUCGGCCAAGUGCUACGGAGACAGGUUCAUCCCGGAUCGGUCGGCGAUGGACAUGGACGUGGCGCACUACCUGCUCACGGAGGGCAAGAAGGACAAGGAGAACGCAGCGGCAUCCCCGUCCAAGGAGGCCUACCGGAGGCUUCUGGCCGAGAAGCUGCUCAACAACCGGACGCGGAUCCUCGCCUUCAGGAACAAGCCGCCGGAACCCGAGAACGUGUUUGCUGCCGACACGGUUUCUUCUCACCAGGCCAAGCCGGCCAAGCAGAGGCGCUACAUUCCCCAGUCUGCCGAGAGGACUCUGGAUGCACCGGACCUCGUCGACGACUACUACCUCAACCUAAUGGACUGGGGGAGCAGCAACGUGUUGUCCAUUGCGCUGGGCGACACCAUGUACCUGUGGGACGCCUCAAGUGGAUCCACAUCUGAGCUCGUGACAGUCGAGGAGGACAACGGCCCCAUCACCAGCGUCAGCUGGGCUCCUGAUGGCCGCCAUCUUGCUAUUGGGCUCAACUCGUCUGACAUCCAGCUCUGGGACACCAGCUCCAGCCGCCUGUUGAGAACUCUGAAAGGUGUGCAUGAGUCAAGGGUCGGCUCGCUGGCAUGGAACAACAACAUCCUGACGACAGGCGGCAUGGACGGCAGGAUCGUGAACAACGACGUGAGGAUCAGGGAUCAUGCCGUGCAGACUUACCAGGGGCACAGCCAGGAGGUGUGCGGGCUCAAGUGGUCUGGCUCAGGGCAGCAACUGGCGAGCGGUGGCAACGACAACCUUUUGCACAUUUGGGAUGUGUCGAUGGCAUCCUCCAUGCCAUCUGCUGGCCGCAACCAGUGGCUGCACAGGCUCGAGGACCACACGGCCGCUGUGAAGGCGCUCGCAUGGUGCCCGUUCCAGAGCAACCUGCUGGCAACCGGCGGCGGCGGUAGCGACCGGUGCAUCAAGUUCUGGAACACGCACACCGGCGCAUGCCUGAACUCUGUUGAUACCGGGUCACAGGUUUGCUCUCUUCUGUGGAACAAGAAUGAGAGGGAGCUGCUGAGCUCACACGGGUUCACUCAGAACCAGCUGACAUUGUGGAAGUACCCUUCGAUGGUCAAGAUGGCUGAGCUCACUGGCCAUACCUCCCGCGUUCUCUUCAUGGCACAGAGUCCUGAUGGUUGCACGGUAGCGUCGGCUUCUGCGGACGAGACCCUCCGCUUCUGGAACGUGUUUGGCACCCCUGAGGUGGCCAAGCCUGCACCCAAGGCUUCCCACACCGGCAUGUUCAACAGCAGCUUCGCCCAUAUCCGAUAA